UACGAAGGGGGCUAGCGUUGUCCGGAAUCACUGGGCGUAAAGGGCGCGUAGGCGGCGGCCCAAGUCAACGGUGAAAGCUCGGCGCUCAACGCCGAGUCGGCCGUCGAUACUGGGCUGCUCGAGCACUGUAGAGGCAGAUGGAAUUCCGGGUGUAGCGGUGGAAUGCGUAGAGAUCGGGAAGAACAUCGGUGGCGAAGGCGGCCAGCUGGGCCGUUGCUGACGCUGAGGCGCGACAGCGUGGGGAGCAAACAGG
rnacentral:rRNA from 1 species